AAGAAAGGUCCCCCAUCGUGCAGCAAUGGGUGUUACACAUCUUCAACAAGCCGGCAUCGGGCUCACUCGACAUCGGAGGGUUUAACAACCACUACCACUCCUUCAUUGGUUUCGGAUGGCACUCAGUGUGGCGGACACUCCGCAUGAACGUGCAAACGGAGCGGAAGUAGGUUGGGAGAGGGAGUAGCAAGCAGUUUCGGAAAGGCCACCUGUGUGUACAAGUAGGCGUUCCGGUAACAACUUUCAAAACAAAGCAACAUGGCUGUCAUGGAGUCGAGGAGUAGCUACAUUGAGCAACAUGGAAAGUCCACAGACAUGAGGAUGACCACUCCUGUGGAUGUGUUACCUUGUCUUGAGUCGAAAUAGUGGCCAGAUGUCCCCAGUCACUGUAAUGAGCUAUGUAUCUGGCAGUCCUCGCGGUCUCCUGGUGCGGUGGAGGACCGCUGCUGCUCAUCUUCUCCAGCCGAUAUGAAAACAGGCGAGAGGAAAGCUGCGCCACACUGUCGCUCUCUGGCUUGCCUAGCUCUCCGGGGCUCUCCAUGCUGUCUCCGAGGACGUUGGAGGACGGUCCAUGGACUUAUCACUCCAGGCCAUUGAUUUUCUUUUUGCUAGUUCCAUCCAGGACGGCUGGCUGCUGUCAGACAUGGACUGCAACGGUGAUGGCAUUGUAGGUGACGAUGAGGGCGAUGAAGAUGAUGUCACAUUUUUCCGCAGCCAUUUGUCCUCACGAGGCCUGUCUGGCACUUUAGGUGUGGUUUUGGCUGAGGCAGGCGAUUCACCGGAUGUAUGCGCUUCUGUUUGAGCUUUCUUCAAUUCCACCUGUGAAAAACUAAACUGGAGGAGGAGCUGUGGCUGAUGAGGGGCUAGAAACGGAAGUUGUGGAUUUGAGCUGGUUGGUGGGGUGAAGACCUCGAUUGCUCCAGGGGGGCUGCUGCUGGCCCGAGGAAAGCAGGUCUCUUCUUGGUGCUGGCCCUCUGGUUUCUGGGCUUGAUGGACAUCCGGUGGCGUGCAGCAGAGGUAUCCAGGGGGUUGAAUUGAGCCGGAGAACUGAAGUCCAGCGGGGGCUCGACAACAGAAGUAUUGGAGGGGACAGAAAGAGGCAAAGGGAGUGAUGAAGUCAGGGGCACAGAUUUGGUAAGUGUAGGUUUGGGGAUUGGUGAGAGUGGACGAGAGGGUGGCUGAAAUGUGGUCUGAAAAAAAAGAACAAUCAUAUUGUAACAUGGCAUGGCAUAUGGCUAUAUUCUACAUUUAUCUUAUAGUAUCUAUCUAUUUUAUAGUAUAUUUAUCUGUCUGAAAAUAGUUCCCAACAAAUGGACUAUUUCUAUUUAGUAAUAUUUGCGGUAAAAGCAGUUGUGUACAGAUGCUUAGUGAUUACUGUGCCUUAAAAAACCCCAAUACAUAUUAGUAAAGUGAAAGUCAAGCUAAUUCAUUCAGGCAAUGCAUCUAGAGAGAGUCUUGAUUAAUGCACUCAAGAAGAACUCUCAAAAUCAUUAAAACUUUAUCUUCAAGUAUUCAUAAUAAAAUGAACUUGAACUGCAGAAAGACACAGUUAACUGACCAUGUAUUACUUAAACUGGAUAAUAAAUCACCUUGCUGAGGGCUCCCUGGGUUGUGACAUCACCUCCUAAGAUCUCAAGGGGGCUGUGGGGAAAACCUUCAUCCUCGUAGCGGCUUCUCAAAUCCUCUGGUCGUCUGAUUGGAAGAACCAGAGGUGGUGGUCCCAAAUGCAUCUUCUGCUGCUGAAGCUUCAUCUAUGACACCAGAGCACAUGUGAAUUUUUAAAAGAACAACAUAUAUACGUUAAUGACCCAGUUCCCAACAACAUGCCAAGAAUACAAGGCUAUACCUGCAGAAAUUUGACCUUGCUAUGAACAUUUUCCUGAGAUAAGACCCUGACUGGUUCAGCUUCUGUCAGGAUCUCAUCAGCCAGAAAGAUGCUGUCAUGGGACAAUGCCCGUGAUCCCAUCAUCCCCUCAGAGCAUCUGUGGUAGCAGGAAAGGAAAAACACAAGAGGGGUGAAGACAUAGACUAGAAAUCAGAACAGAAAUAGAGCUGUAAACCAAAAAUCUACAGUAUUUACUAUCAGGUAAACACUCACGCCAAAUCUUCCUCUGAUCCGAGUCCCUUUCCUGCCGUAAUGUCACUUUCAGACUGGCUGAGUUUGGCACUUCUCUCUACGCCUGCUCUCUUACUCCUCCCGAAGAGACGAGUUUUCAGAGACUUGAGCUUGGACUUUUUACGUCCUAACAGAGAUUGAGAUGGAUCCAGGUCACUGCAGCUCACACACACACACGCAGAACUCACAUAGUUACCACUCUACACCCUAUAUAUUCUCUGAUGAUUUUUCUAAUUGUUGCAUCAAACGCGUGGCAACUCCUGUUAUAGAUUUUGAUCUGUCAUUGACAAUAAAUUGUCCAUGGUGUGUGCUGGUCACAUGUUUCAAUGUUACGCUGACAUACAUCCUUUAUUUUGAUAACUUAUUUUUGUCAAUGACUUGCUUUCUCAUCACCAUAACACUCUUGUGUAAAACUACAUGACAGAUAACCUCACCUGGAAUGUCCUCAGUGCUUUCUCCUGUAUCUCCAGAGAAAGACUCCAUUGGUCCGAUCCCUGAAAGAAGUGAGAACAGACAACAGCAAAGUGUGUAAGAAGCAACUGUGACAGAUAAGAGAAACCUCAGGCAUACAGCUGCUGUCACAUGCCAGAGGUCUUUUAACGUGGUGCAAAUACUCCAGUGGUAUGCUCUCAGUUCUCCUGAAGAUGUGACACUAGAAUUGAGGUUCAAAGGUUCAUUUGUGUUAUCUGGAACGGUACAAACAUUUACUGUAGCUAGGUGGGGCACAAAAUCUGAAGCUUUUACAAGAGGACUGUGUACAGAAGACAACACAUUAUAUGCAGUGUCAUGAAGAAAAAACACAUCAUGUAGGUUACAGAGGAGGGAGUAGGGUUUAUGAUAUGACAUUGCACUAGUGGGAGAAUAUCACGCCAUCACAAAGCAGUGCAGCUUGGAUAUCAUAUUUUGUGAACAAAGACAAAGCUAAAAUCUUGCUCUCAGGCAGCUUUACUUAUGCAACACUUGACUGAAAAACAUGCGGAUUGGGUUGACGUGUUACUGGAUGCAAGAUUCAGAGCAGAGUGCUUGUUUCCUUUGUUUCACAGACUGUAUUUUGUACCCUGCCCUGGAGCAGUUCUUCUGUUUGAGAUAUGCAUACACCAUUUUGUGGGAGUCAGACAGUUCUCCCUGUGUAGCCUAGGAACUGAUGAUACUGUGCAGUAUGGGUGCCUGAUAAGACAAGAUGUGUCAGGUUCUGGAUGAACAUGCAAAGUCCACACUGCACCUCUCAUAUCGCUCAGCCUGCUCUCAGAAAACAAGCACAGCCUAUUGAAAUUAUAUAAGAGUAUGAAUAUGACACUCAAGAAAAAGUUGGAUGUUAUGUCAUAUUUGACUGAAACAUUCGAACAUCUUGCCCUACACAUAAAUUUCAACUUGUUGAUAUAUCACCGCAGCCCUGAAUGAAACUAAAGUGCUCAUGAAUCAGGCCGUAUACCUCAGAGUUUUGUCAUCCAGUGAGCCAAGCUAUAGCCCCAACAGAAACAGGAUAAUCCUGUGGAUUAUUGACAUUGCAGAGAGAUCCAUGUAACAUUUCAUAGCACCAUAAUCCACAACAACAUCUUAAUCACAAACUUCCCAUGCCACGUUCUACAGCACAAAAUUCACCUGAUAUUCACAGGGAAAGUACUCAACACACACACCUUCACCCGCCGGUAAGUGCAAAAAUGAGUGAACUCACCCAACGUCUAAUAGCAGCACUUCUGCUUCUCUUCCGCCUCUUUGUCCUCCUCUCCCCUCCAAAUGGUCUUGUCUCAGCUGUGUCACUGUCCCAAUGUUUAAACCUCAGGCUUGCGUCGUCCACAUCUGCAGAUGGAGGGAGAUUCAGGGAGAGAGGGAAGGGGGCGAGGCAAGUGGAAGGAGAGAGAAAAACAGGCUGGGAGAAGGAGAGAGAGAAGGACACUCCAUGACAGGGUAAGCAAAUUCACAAAGAGAAACGAGGACAGAAGAGAAUGAGAAAGAGAGAGAGUGGGAGAGAGAGAGGUAUACUCUAUUACAUUAGUGGCACACUGUGGCCCUCUGCGCUAAGCUUCUUAUGAAACGCUAACCUGAUUUUAGGCCCAGAAAUGAGAGUAGAGGGAAAAAAUAAAGCUCCAGUUGGAAAGAGGACAGGCAUACAGGAAUUACGGCUCAUAGAACUGUUUACUCAUUAAACCGGGUUGCUUACCCCCCGGACGAUCACAUAGGGGAGGCUGUGUGUGUGUGUGUCUGUCUGUUUCUUGUAUUUAUAGCCCAGUGGGGACUGUAAACUAACUGCUCACUAACUAACUGAUAGGGAUUGUGAGGACAAAAAUUGCGGUCCCCAAGUAGAGACUGCUUUUUGAUUGUAGGACUAGGGUUCAGGUUACAGUUGUGUUAGGGUUAGUCAUGUAGUGACAUGUUGGUAAGAUUAGGAGCAGGUGCUAGGGAAUGCAUUAUGUAAAUGAGAUGUCCCCACGGGGAUUGAGGAAAAAACAUUUGUGUGUGAGUGAAUCUAUGUCUUAGAAAGUAAACAAAAAAAUAAAAUAAAAUUACCAAUCAUGAAUUAGCCAUUUCCCAGCCCUACUGAAAUCCAGAGUUCACAUCCAAAUGUACAGGACAUUGGAGCUAAAAUACUAUUUUAUAGCAUUCUACAGUAAUCAUAGACAUUUAUAAAUACAUUCAUUUAUAUUUGCAUGUACACACAUCACUAGUCAAAUACUUUAGCAUACACAAAAUGGGCACGAUUGUUCAUUUUCAUCAAAUACCCUCCCAGUAGGGCGUCCUUUUGGCUUAAUGGUUGACGUGUUUACCAUAUAACUGCAACGUCCCUGGUUUGAUCCAGCUAACAAUCCUCUAUAUCUCCACAAAUGGCCUAAGAAAACCACAAAAUAAUCUUAAACUCUUUCAGUAACACUGGUAAAAGAGACAAAGAUAUUUCCCACACACAUGUUAGGAUAGUAUUCACAGAUGGGAGCACUAUCUAGGCCACUGUGCUACAAUCAACGAGAGGGAGGGCAGAAGGAAGUGGGAAGCAAACGUUUGCAUCCACAUUUUUGUGUUUGGGUGUGUGGCUGAACAGCUCCUCUGAUGAGGCUCCUCAUCACACAAAUCCUUAUCUCUUCCACCAGAAUAUAAACCCAGCCGGUGACAUCUGGAUUACAUGCAACCAACCACAUGCCGCAUGUUAAUAGACAUAGAGUCUGUGACAUAAGAGUCUGGGAUGUGGUUUUAUUUAAGUUCCCCAAUCAUGGAUUCAUUGUCUGUUAUCUGCACAUAAGAAUUACAGCUGGUUGUUGUCCUAUAUAAAAACUGUCUGUAUGUAUUGAAAUGUACUGCAUGGUUACAGCACUCACUGCUUCUUGUGCUGCAGCCUUUGUCCUCUCUGCUCAUUAGAAAACAAAGGUACGGACGUUUGCUACAGAUACGGUCAUCUCUGGUUCAUGUGGUUCCCUGAUGGAUUAUAAAUUCUUCCUCUCAGAGCCCAGAUGAGGACUGUGCAUAUCGAGAUUAAGGCCGAUAGAUAAUCCGAUCACGGCACUGUUUGAACUCAUGCAGGUUACCAUUCAU